rnacentral:rRNA from 1 species
GAUGAACGCUGGCGGCGUGCCUAAUACAUGCAAGUCGAGCGAACAGACGAGGAGCUUGCUCCUCUGACGUUAGCGGCGGACGGGUGAGUAACACGUGGAUAACCUACCUAUAAGACUGGGAUAACUUCGGGAAACCGGAGCUAAUACCGGAUAAUAUAUUGAACCGCAUGGUUCAAUAGUGAAAGACGGUUUUGCUGUCACUUAUAGAUGGAUCCGCGCCGCAUUAGCUAGUUGGUAAGGUAACGGCUUACCAAGGCAACGAUGCGUAGCCGACCUGAGAGGGUGAUCGCCCACACGGGAACUGAGACCCGGUCCAGACUCCUACGGAAGGCAGCAGUAGGGAAUCUUCCGCAAUGGGCGAAAGCCUGACGGGGCAACGCCGCGUGAGUGAUGAAGGUCUUCGGAUCGUAAAACUCUGUUAUUAGGGAAGAACAAAUGUGUAAGUAACGAUGCACGUCUUGACGGUACCAAAGCAGAAAGCCACGGCUAACUACGU